CUUUCUGGCAGUGAAAGUGGAUGACACUGCAAUGGAGGAAGUUGCGCCGUCGUUGAAUCAGGAUCUGGAGAAGAAGAAGGAUGAGACAGUUGCAGAAGCUGAAAUUGAAGAAGUGAUAACUGAGAAGGCUAAAAGAGGAAGGAAACCUGGCUCGAAAAGGCAGAGGCGGCUAGAGAGUUCGGAGACGGAAAGAGUUAUGGCGCGAGCGCCACGCAGUUGCCGAACUCGGAAACUCGUUGAAUGUGAUGUAGAAACUGAAAUUGAAGAAGCGAUAACUGAGAAGGCGAAAAGAGGAAGGAAACCUGGCUCGAAAAGGCAGAGGCGGCUAGAGAGUUCGGAGACGGAAAAAGUUAUGGCGCGAGCGCCACGCAGUUGCCGAACUCGGAAACUCGUUGAAUGCGAGGUUGACGAAACUGAAAUUGAAGAAGCGGUAACUGAGAAGGCUAAACGA
rnacentral:lncRNA from 1 species